rnacentral:rRNA from 1 species
AUACGGAGGGUGCAAGCGUUGUUCGGAAUCACUGGGCGUAAAGGGCGCGCAGGCGGUUUGGUAAGUCAGAUGUGAAAGCCCACGGCUCAACCGUGGAAGUGCAUUUGAAACUGCCAGAAUUGAGUACCAGAGGGGAACGUGGAAUUCCCGGUGUAGAGGUGAAAUUCGUAGAUAUCGGGAGGAAUACCGGUGGCGAAGGCGACUUUCUGGCUGGAUACUGACGCUGAGGCGCGAAAGCGUGGGGAGCAAACAGGAUUAGAAACCCGGGUAGUCC